rnacentral:rRNA from 1 species
GACCGUAUGGUCCGCCCGUCGGAUUCAGUCCGCCUGUGCGGCGACGGCGACGGCCGCGCAUCCCUCUAGGGAGCGCGCCGGCGCCCGCUCGUCGUGCGGCGGCCGUACUUUCGGCGGGCGGAGCGCCACGACCGGUUCGUCGGCGGCGAGAAACUCCCGGGCAAGGUGACCUUCGUCUCGGCGCAGGAGCAUACAGGCCCGGUGAGCGUCGGCCCGUCGGUGGACCGAGGAAGACCGUCGCGGAGCGGCGUCGACCGUUCGUCGUGUGUUGGCGUUCGACUCGGGGGGACUGGUUCCAGUGCCCUCGGACCGCGCCGGCGCAGCGGCGGGCGCGCACGGCGUCGCGCCUGGGGUCGGUGGCGAAACGGCCGGCAACCUGUCCGACCCGUCUUGAAACACGGACCAAGGAGUCUAACAUGUGCGCGAGUCGUUGGGCGCUACGAAACCCGAAGGCGCAAUGAAAGUGAAGGCCCGGUCUCCGCCCGGCCUGGGUGGGAUCCCGGCGGUCUCGGCCGUCGGGCGCACCACCGCCCCCUCUCCU